UGGCGUUGCCAAGGGAGACGCGCGAUUUGGCGCGAAAUCUCCGUCGCCAUCUUGUCCCGUGUGAUGUUUUUCACAGUUUAAUGUGGCUUUGCGCGGCGACCGCCGCAUUUAGAACGCUGAAAAAAGAAAUAAGCGGGAUUAGCUUACGUGUCACGGUGAGCUGGCGACGCGACGUGGGAAUUAGCUAAGGAAGCAAAGGCGAUGCAGGGCGUCUGUCGCGCGUCCCAGAUAAGGAUUUAGAGACAAAGAUGGAUGUUGCCCGCGACGGAGCGUGUCUGAGCUUAUCACGACAAUUUCUUUGCUGUCUGCGCGUGUCGCCGUGUCGCGCCGUGACCCUACAGUUGCGCUCCAUCAUGCUCAACGUGGCCUUACUUUCACACAUAUACAAAUCGUAUCGUACGCAUAAUCAUUUAAACUACUGAUGUCAGAGAAUCAUCAAUACCUAAUAAAUAACGUCAAAUAUGUUCGUAAUACUAUUGUACAUCCUCCAAGGUUAAGUUCGACUCGGCCAUAGCAACAUCACGACUAUGGACUUUAUUGUAAGGUAAUACGGUUCUUGAUCUCUAUGUGGCCACUACUGGGGGGGGGGGGGCUAAAUAUGGAAUUAGCACUAGUGCUGUUGGAGCCCAACAUGGGGUUUUUAGUCACUGAAUAUCCAAUACACCCGAAUACCUUGAAUAAGCCCGACGGCAUCGAUAUAUAUGUAUGUACUACGUCCUAGGGUUGGCAUUUCGAACACUUCCUGUGUUCAACUGAAGUGUACUGCAAUCCGGUAUUGCUUGCCAUUUUACUUAUACUCUAUUUAAAGAGCUUUAGCACUGCAAGUUUCAAGUUUGGUUAGACGACAGUUGAUGUUUUAGCGUUGCAGCGAACUUUAAUUCUAACUCCAUAUCUUGAACAAAUACUUUAUAUGGACGUUCAUGUCUAUAGAAUAUACGUCUAUGCAUAGAGAUCCAUGAGGAUAAUCUCCAUAAAAAAGGAUAUAUUAAUUUACUCCUUUAUCUCGACGUGGUCGAUAAAGCAAAUAUCCUUCAUUAAUUUACAUUUGAUAGUGAAGUGAGUAGUAGCAUAUAGGUAUGUGGUAAAUAGCUCUGUGUCGGCAUAAUUCCAAUCAAAGUACAAUUUGAAACGAGUACAUAAAUAUAAAAUAAUAAAUUAAAGGACUACUUAUUUUGAUAAUAUGAAUAGUGAAGCUACAAAGGAGUCAAUAAUCACAAACGUACACUGCAAAUCAUAACCUUUCUUUCGUACAGUCGGAUUAUUACCGACAAAUAAAGCGUCAUAAAGUCCGCUACGUUUUAUCUGUAUGCACCGGCUAUCGGGCGAAAGUAAUGGGGUCAUAAUUAAGAGCAGAACAAUGAUAACGCACCCCCAAAUAACUGUUAUUACGUUUGUGUAGCUUACCCGCAAUGGGUACUAAUGUAAGUUGAACCCCGUGGUGUAUGAUGGCGAGUAGUGCGGACGGGUCAAGAAGUAUAAAUACCUACUUAUUGAUAUAUGAAUAUUACGUCUUUUCUAACUAAUAGGUUUAAUAUAAACUAGCACUUAUUAUAUGUACGAUAAGUCUUUAAAUGGUUACAUAACACCUGAUACAUGAAACUCACACAUGGAGAGUAUAAUCUAAAUAAACCACUUUUCGAAAAUG
rnacentral:lncRNA from 1 species